UCUACAAAUACACUUGAACAUGUGUAUAUGCCAUGGUUUGUUUUAUUUAUUGCAACUCUGUUGCCCAUUUGAAUUUUUUUUUUCAACGGUUUUUUAUUUAUUUUUGGGACAGAGAGAGACAGAGCAUAAACGGGGGAGGGGCAGAGAGAGAGGGAGACACAGAAUCGGAAACAGGCUCCAGGCUCUGAGCCAUCAGCCCAGAGCCUGACUCGGGGCUCGAACUCACAGACCGCGAGAUCGUGACCUGGCUGCAGUCGGACGCUUAACCGACUGCGCCACCCAGGCGCCCCUCUGUUGCCCAUUUGAAAAGAUUUGAAUCACUCUCACCGGCCAUCAGCAGGGGACUGGUUAAAUUAUGGUUCAUCUGUACACAAGAACAGGAUAUAGUUGUCUAAAAGAAUAAGGAAGCUCUCUAUACACUGCUAUAACACAUCUUUAUGAUACGUCGGUUGCUCGCUGAAAAAGGCAAAGUACAAAACACUAAAUGGUCAUGUAACAAAGUUUUGGCCAGUGAAAUAUGAGAAGAGAUCUACUGGAACAUCCUUCCUUUUUUUAACCAUCUUGAAUGAGGGCAAGAGUGACAGCAGCCACUGUGCAGCCAGAAUAGAAAGAACAUGAAAAUCACAGAGAUGCUGGUCCCUACAUCUUUGAGCCAAUGGACCACCUACCUCCAAACUUCUUAUGAAGGCCCCAAACCACAAACACAAAGGAAGCUUCCGUGGAACAGGAUUACAGCACUGCCAGCACCCAGGUGCAACCAGCAGCAGAAAUGGCCAAGACAGGAAACAUCAGCACCAGCAGCGCAGAGACCUCCAUGUAGCAUGAAGGUCAGGUGUCCAGGUGUGGGAGGAUAACCAGGGCGGGACAGAGGGAGGCAGGAUGCAAGAUGCUUUCAUCAAAGGUCCCAGGUGGAUGCAGGGUGCAGAGUGUGCUUGCUGUGCACCUGCUGGACACCUCUCAUUUCCUGGAAGUCACUUGGGGAGGUAUGGUGUUGCACUUGAAGUAGCACUUGGGAGCUGAGAGAGGGCCUGUACCCAUCCCUAAGGACCAUAUGUGCCCUGAGGACUGGACUUUGCAGACAGCAAAGUGGAGCCAGUCCUGUAGGCCUUAAAAAUAGGCACCAGCCAGAAGCCACAAGGUGUCCCCUAAGCUGGUGGGGAAAAAAAAAAAACCCAGGAAGGCAGCCUCCAGGGCCCUGGCACCAGCCUGGAGACAGGGGCUUCUGGCCCAGGAAGGCCUAGAUGAGUGAGAAAUAAGAAAGAGAACACAAAUUUGCAAAGGAGAUGGAUGAGCAAAGGCUGGUCCCGUGAGGGUUUGGAGAUGAACAACAAGGUUCUCAUCAUCAGCCCUAGGUCAGCCCAUCAGGGGGUCAGUAUUUAGUGCCUCAAGUCAGAUAAGGUGCCAAAGCCAGGCUUGGUCAUAGCUGAGAGGAGUGACCUGACAGAGGAGUCCAAAACACUGAGGUUGGACAAGGGAGAAUGGGAGUCUCCACUUGGAUUUGCCAGAGAUCUCUCCAGCCCAUUGUGUCCUAAAUUCAUUCCUCGCCCACCCGUUUCCUCUUUUCUCUACAGUGUUCAUAAUAUCCUGAACCUCCCAAUCACUCGGGUUCAAACUUGGGGGUUAUCAUGAGCCCUUCCUCUCUCUUGCCCUGAAAAUUCUACCUCCUAUCCCUUCUGACUCUCCGUGCUCUCGGCCACUUGCCUAACUCAA